rnacentral:rRNA from 1 species
UACGGAGGGGGCUAGCGUUGUUCGGAAUUACUGGGCGUAAAGCGUACGUAGGCGGCUUUGUAAGUUAGAGGUGAAAGCCCGGAGCUCAACUCCGGAAUUGCCUUUAAAACUGCAUCGCUUGAAUCGUGGAGAGGUUAGUGGAAUUCCGAGUGUAGAGGUGAAAUUCGUAGAUAUUCGGAAGAACACCAGUGGCGAAGGCGACUAACUGGACACGUAUUGACGCUGAGGUACGAAAGCGUGGGGAGCAAACAGG